UUAUCAAAAUAGCAUAAUUUAGUGAUUAAAGAAAUUGGUUACGAGGAUUGGAGGAGAAAAGAAGAAGAAUCGAAGAAUUUUGGUGGUGGUAAAUGGAUACGACGUGGUGGCAGUGUGAUGGCAGAGGUGGUGACGGUGAGGUAAUGGUUUGGUGGCUUUUAUAAGUGUUGGAGUUGAGGAGAAAUGAGAAGAAGAGGUGGUUUAGGUGGUGAAAAUAGAAGAGCAAUAAGAGAAAAGGGGGGAGCAAGGAGGAAGGGCGGCUAAAAGGAGAGGAGAACAAAGAUGAGAAAAAAAUUAAAAGUAGAAGAGUGUCUAGGUUCAUGGCCGACCAAGGUAGUCAAAGAGGGAGAAAAGGUAAGUGUGGAGACAAGGAGAGUGAAAGGUGGAUCAUGGAGGAGUGAAAAAGGGAAAGUAAAAGGCAUGUUAACCAAACCAAAAGGAAAAGG
rnacentral:lncRNA from 1 species